rnacentral:lncRNA from 1 species
GUCUGAUAAAUGUUGUUGAUGUGAACUGAAGUGGCUGAUAAUUGCUCUUAAUUAUGCUUUUUGUAUCCAGGCAACGGGCUUAUUACUACGCUUUCUACUCCUAAAAUGACUUCAGAGGAUGAAUUAACCUGAAGCAGGAAAAGUUACUAUUGACUCCUUGACACUACUCUCUCACUCAACAUGAUCCUGUCCUACUAAAGAGAACACACAACUAACCAACUCUGGCCGAGAAGGUUGAAAGAUGAAACAAUUGGUAGAUCAUUUUAAAACGUACUAAAGUUUUAGUUGGUCUUUGCACUCACACUCAAAUUCUCCUCAGUAGCAACUCCCGC